AAUUCUCAACCCAAACAUCUUUUGCGAGGUGUCUGGGCUUGGACUUGGGAGUCUGCUGGCUUUUGUCGGCUCUCCUUGAAUGCAUUAGCUCGAACCCUUGCGGAUCGGCUGCCGGUGUGAUAAUUGUCUACGCCGUGGUUGUGAUGCCACCUUCGGGUGUGGGUCGGCUUCUAAUUGUCCUGAGAGGGACAACUUUUUGAA
rnacentral:misc_RNA from 1 species